rnacentral:rRNA from 1 species
CCGGACCUGACUGCUAUCGGAUUGGUACUAAGCCAUGCGAGUCAUUGUAGCAAUACAAGGCGGACGGCUCAGUAACACGUAGUCAACCUAACUCGUGGACGUGGAUAACCUCGGGAAACUGAGAAUAAACCACGAUAGAUCAUAGUGCCUGGAAUGGCUUAUGGUCCAAACAGUUUACUGCCAUGGGAUGGGACUGCGGCCUAUCAGCUUGUUGGUGAGGUAAUGGCCCACCAAGGCGAUUACAGGUACGGGCUCUGAGAGGAGUAGCCCGGAGAUGGGUACUGAGACACGGACCCAGGCCCUAUGGGGCGCAGCAGGCGAGAAACCUUAGCAAUGUGCGAAAGCACGACUGGGUCAGUCCGAGUGAUUCCUGAUAAAGGAGUCUUUUGCCUGUCCUAAAAGCACAGGUGAAUAAGGGGUGGGCAAGUCUGGUGUCAGCCGCCGCGGUAAUACCAGCACCUCGAGUGGUCAGGACGUUUAUUGGGCCUAAAGCAUCCGUAGCCGGCUCUGCAAGUCUUCGGUUAAAUCCACCUGCUCAACAGAUGGGCCGCUGGAGAUACUACAGAGCUAGGGAGUGGGAGAGGCAGACGGUAUUCAGUGGGUAGGGGUAAAAUCCUCUGAUCCAUUGAGGACCACCAGUGGCGAAGGCGGUCUGCCAGAACACGUUCGACGGUGAGGGAUGAAAGCUGGGGGAGCAAACCGGAUUAGAUACCCGGGUAGUCCCAGCUGUAAACGAUGCAAACUCGGUGAUGCAUUGGCUUAUGGCCAAUGCAGUGCCGCAGGGAAGCCGUUAAGUUUGCCGCCUGGGAAGUACGGACGCAAGUCUGAAACUUAAAGGAAUUGGCGGGG